rnacentral:rRNA from 1 species
CCUANGGGUGGCAGCAGUGAGGAAUAUUGCACAAUGGACGAAAGUCUGAUGCAGCGACGCCGCGUGGGCGACGAAGGCCUUCGGGUUGUAAAGCCCUUUUGGCAGGGACGAGUGAGGACGGUACCUGUCGAAUAAGUCUCGGCUAACUACGUGCCAGCAGCCGCGGUAAAACGUAGGAGGCGAGCGUUAUCCGGAUUUACUGGGCGUAAAGCGUGCGUAGGCGGUUGGUCAAGUCAGAUGUUAAAGCCCCUGGCUCAACUAGGGGAGGUCAUUUGAUACUGUCCGGCUUGAGGGUGAGAGAGGAGAGUGGAAUUCCCGGUGUAGCGGUGGAAUGCGUAGAGAUCGGGAGGAACACCAGUGGCGAAAGCGGCUCUCUGGCUCACCCCUGACGCUGAGUGCACGAAAGCGUGGGGAGCAAACGGGAUUAGAUACCCCUNUANUC